rnacentral:rRNA from 1 species
GAGUGGCGAAAGGGGCAGUAAGGCGUGGGUAACGUACCCCGGGGACUGGGAUAGCCAUUCUAACGAGUGGGUAAUACUAGGCGAUGUGGCGAGAUCGCAUGACCUUGCCACGAAACGAAUUUCGCCUCGGGAGCGGCUCACGUGGUAUUAGCUAGUUGGUGGGGUAAUGGCCUACCAAGGCAAAGAUGCCUAGCAGGUGUGAGAGCAUGACCUGCGCCACUGGCACUGAGACACUGGCCAGACUCCUACGGGAGGCUGCAGUCGAGGAUCUUCGGCAAUGGGCGCAAGCCUGACCGAGCGACGCCGCGUGUGCGAUGAAGGCCUUCGGGUUGUAAAGCACUGUCGAGGGGGAGGAAGCCCCCUCAAGAGGGUGAGGGUGAGGGGGUUGACCUAUCCCUGGAGGAAGCACGGGCUAAGUUCGUGCCAGCAGCCGCGGUAAGGCGAACCGUGCGAACGUUGUUCGGAUUCACUGGGCUUAAAGGGCGCGUAGGCGGGUUACCAAGUCAGGGGUGAAAUCUUUCGGCUCAACCGGAAAACGGCCCCUGAUACUGGUAGUCUUGAGGGAGGUAGGGGCAGGUGGAACUUCCGGUGGAGCGGUGAAAUGUGUUGAUAUCGGAAGGAACGCCGGUGGCGAAAGCGACCUGCUGGAUCUCUUC